rnacentral:rRNA from 1 species
UACGUAGGGUGCAAGCGUUGUCCGGAAUCAUUGGGCGUAAAGAGCGUGUAGGCGGCCCGAUAAGUCCGCUGUGAAAGUCCAGGGCUCAACCCUGGAAUGCCGGUGGAUACUGUCGGGCUAGAGUCCGGAAGGGGCGAGUGGAAUUCCUGGUGUAGCGGUGAAAUGCGCAGAUAUCAGGAGGAACACCAAUGGCGAAGGCAGCUCGCUGGGUCGGUACUGACGCUGAGACGCGAAAGCGUGGGAGCAAACAGG